UAGAUUAUGGACAUCCACCUUAAUGUUCAACUUCCCCUACACGGGACAAAAUCACCAACAUCUUUAAUGAGAGAAAAUCCUUUAUCGACUGAUUCAUUUCCAUGUUUUGUUUCUGCAGCUAGACGGGAUAUCCUUUAAUGCCAACGGGUAUUUCAUUAACACCGCCACCUCCAGCAUCUUCAAGGAUAUCACCUCAGGCACAACGUUACUGAUGGAGAAUGUUUAGAGUAUUCUGAUAA
rnacentral:lncRNA from 1 species